rnacentral:rRNA from 1 species
CCUGCAAAAUAAACAUAGGGGGUCCUGCCUGCCCAGUGACUGCAAAGUUUAACGGCCGCGGUAUCUUGACCGUGCGAAGGUAGCAUAAUCAUUUGUCUCCUAAAUAGAGACUGGUAUGAAUGGCAAGACGGAGCUUCACUGUCUCCUCCUCUUUGAUCUGAACUUCACAUUCCCGUGAAGAGGCGAGAAUUAGUUCGUAAGACGAGAAGACCCUGUCGAGCUGUAGCUAAAUUUUAAUUGUUAUUUACUAUUAGCCCUAACUAAUUAUAAUAAGAAUAGUGGGCCUAAAGCAUGACAAAUUAAAACAAGCUUUGAUUGGGGCAAUCCCGGAGAAAGAAAAUCCUCCGCUACUAUAUGGUUAUAUUAACCUAAAAUAAAAGAAUUAUUUUUCUUAAAUCAUAAAAAUGAAGAUAUGAUCCACUUACUGUGAUCAAAAGAACAAG